rnacentral:lncRNA from 1 species
GCUUCCUCCUCAUGUCUGCAUAAAUAAAUGGGGAAUAGGCUUUGCCUGUGCUUUGAAAAUGAGGUGGCAGAGGAUUGCCCAUUCUGUACACAAGCUUCAUGAGCAAGAGCAGCCUGAUUUACGGUAUGGUGCCAUGCCCACCUGCCCCCACGGAACAGCUUGUCCAAUGUACUGGCAUCGUCCCUGGUCACUCUCCAUCGGUGCAGCACAUCUGGCGGGGACCACAGGGGACACUGGAACCUGAGAGGGGCUUGGAUCUGUGCUUCAGUUAUGUCAUGUCUGAGUGGUGCUUGUUUGUGUAUUUUCAGAAAACCCAGAGUAAAAAAGGUUUUCCCCCAUAAAUUAAUAGUGACCUCAAAGCUCCCGUGGUGGAAAAACUGCCAUGUGAUGCAAUGCCAGUAAAAUAAAAGCAACUGCAACUUCA